AACUGGUCUCAAGAACCCUUUCUGGGGAGCGUUGAAACCGAGCUCCCUGGAUGCAGCUGGCCAGAGCACACCCUCUACCUUCCACCUGGCCAGUACACCUCAGGACACGUCUGGGAUUGCAGCCAUCACCUUGGCCUUUGCAGCUAUGACCCUGACCACCAGCAGCGGGACCUGUAGGUCAGUCUUUGGCAGCACCACCUCAUUGCCCUUUACAUCCAGGGUGUCAGCAGGUCCUGCUGGCAUUCGGGGCGUUCGGAUGAGCAUGACUACCCCCCACAGCAGCUCCACCACUGGGACAUUCGGCGUUGGAUCUGUACGUAGUGGGAGAACUGGUCUCAGGAACCCUUUCUGGGGAAAGUUGAAUCCGAACUCCGUGGAUGUGGUUGGCCAGAGCACACACCCUCUAUCUUUCACAUGGCCAGCACACGUCAGGACACCUCUGGGAUUGCAGGUAAGAUUUGGAUAUGGAAUUUUAAAAUGUUGUCCUGGAAUGUUUGAAUAUUCCCCAGAGAAAGGAUAGUACCUCAGCAUAACCCAUGGCUUUAUUGUGUUAAUCAUGCAGGCCUACCUUAUUUUUUUGACUUAACCUACAUGCUGUUUUUUUUUUUUUCUCCUUUGGCCCUAAUCAAGUAGUUUGCAAUCUGGGCGAUUAAUAAUGGCAAGCCAGCCCAGCAUAAACAACA